GACCCCGUCGUCUAGCCUGGUCUAGGACAUCAGGUUUUCAUCCUGAAAACACGGGUUCAAAUCCCGUCGGGGUCG
rnacentral:tRNA from 1 species